rnacentral:rRNA from 1 species
UUCGCCCUACGGGGCGCAGCAGUGAGGAAUAUUGGUCAAUGGCCGGAAGGCUGAACCAGCCAAGUCGCGUGAGGGAAUAAGGCACUAUGGGUCGUAAACCUCUUUUGUCAGGGAGCAAAGGCGUCCACGUGUGGACGAGAGGAGAGUACCUGAAGAAAAAGCAUCGGCUAACUCCGUGCCAGCAGCCGCGGUAAUACGGAGGAUGCGAGCGUUAUCCGGAUUUAUUGGGUUUAAAGGGUGCGUAGGCGGAGUGUCAAGUCAGCGGUAAAAUUGCGGGGCUCAACCCCGUACUGCCGUUGAAACUG